rnacentral:rRNA from 1 species
UACGUAGGGUGCAAGCGUUAAUCGGAAUUACUGGGCGUAAAGCGUGCGCAGGCGGUUGUGCAAGACAGAUGUGAAAUCCCCGGGCUUAACCUGGGAAUUGCAUUUGUGACUGUACGGCUAGAGUGUGUCAGAGGGGGGUAGAAUUCCACGUGUAGCAGUGAAAUGCGUGGAGAUGUGGAGGAAUACCGAUGGCGAAGGCAGCCCCCUGGGAUAACACUGACGCUCAUGCACGAAAGCGUGGGGAGCAAACAGG